rnacentral:lncRNA from 1 species
CUUCCUUCUUUUUGAUGUGUAGGACUUUUACCUAUUUGUCCCUCUAUACAUCAAAUAACUUCAACUCUCCAUGCUUAUUUACCUUACAACUUUUAAUCUUUUUUCCUUUUUUUUUAAUUUUUAAUUUUUUCUUUUCUUUUUUUUUUUUUAAAUUCAACCUUUACGUUUUUUUUCCUUUCUCUUCUCAACUACUAUUUAUUUUUCUUUGUUCUUUUCUCGUUUUAUUCUUUUUUAAAGAAAUUUUCUCAACCUUUAUUUUGUUUUUGUCAUUUUUUCUUAAUCUUUUUUUCUUUUAGUUUUUUCCUUUUCUCCUCUCAACUUUUAUUUUUUCCUCUUUUUUUAUUUGAUUUUUCUUUUUUCUUCUUUUAAAAAUAUUUUUUUUCAUUUUUUCCCUCAACUUUUAUUUUUUUCCUUUUUCCUUCAUUUUUUCCCUCAACUUUUAUUAUUUUUCUUUUUUCUUCAUUUUUUCCUUCAACUUUUAUUAUUUUUCUUUUUUCCCUUUUAUUUUCUUCAAUUCCUUCAAAGAACAAGUUACGCCCCAUGAGAAAAAUUGUCAUUACCACAUUGUGUUUUGAUUUAUAAGAUGUUCUAUAAAUCUUGCCUUAGAGGUAGGACUUAGCCUAAGGACUUUCAAAUAAAAUGUUACGUUCCACGGGCAAAAAUUGUCACUACCACAUUGUGUUUUGAUUUCUGAGAUGUUUUAUAACUACUGCUUUAGAGGCAAGACUUAGUCCAAGGACUUUCAAACAACAAAUUACGCCCCAUGGACAAGAGUUGAUACAACCACAUUGUGUUUUGAUUCAUGGGAUGCUCUAUAACUCUUGUCUUAGAAGCAAGAUUUAGUCUAAGGACUAUCAAAUGACAUGUUAUGCCCCAUGGGUAAGAGUUGACACUACCAUAUUGUGUCUUAAUUUAUGAUAUAUUCUAUAACUCUUGUCUUAGAGACAGAACUUAGAUCAAGAGCUUUAAAACAAUAAGUUAUGUCCAAUGAGCAAGAACUGACACCACCUCGUUGUGUUUGAUUUUCGAGAUGCUCUAUAGCUCUUGCCUUAGAGGCAAGACUUAGGUCAAGAACUUUCAAACAACAAUUUACGCGCCAUGGGCAAGAGUAAACGCUACCGCAUUGUGACUUGAUUUAUGAGAUGUUCUAUAACUCUUAUCUUAGAGACAAGACUUAGACCAAGGGCUUUCAAACCAAAAGUUACGCUCCAUGAACAAGCGUUGACACUACCACAUUGUAUUUUGAUUUAUAAAAUGUUCUACAACUCUUGCCUUAAAGACAGGACUUAGCCGAAGGACUUUCAAACAAUAUGUCCCAUGGACAAGAAUUAAUACAACCAGAUUGUGUUUUGAUUAAUGAAAUGCUCUAUAAUUCUUAUCUUAGUGGCAACACUUAGCACAAGGACUUCCAAAUAACAAUUUACGCCAUGGUCAAGAGUUGACGCUUCCAUAUUGUGUCUUGAUUUAUGACACUCUAUAACUCUUGCCUUAGAGACAAGACUUAGCCCAAGGACUUUCAUACAAGUUAUGCCUAUGGAUAAGAGUUGACACUACCACAUUAUGUCUAAAUUUAUGAGAUAG